AUCACCUAGAGACCUUGUUAAAAGCAGGUUAUGACUCAGCGGGUCCAGGGUUGGACCAAUAUUCUGCAUUUCUAACAAGCUCCUUGGUGAUGCUGA
rnacentral:pre_miRNA from 1 species